CGUGCAGGCGGUUUGGUAAGUUGGAUGUGAAAGCUCCUGGCUCAACUGGGAGAGGCCGUUCAAUACUGCCGGACUAGAGGACGGUAGAGGAAGGUAGAAUUCCCGGUGUAGUGGUGAAAUGCGUAGAUAUCGGGAGGAAUACCAGUGGCGAAGGCGGCCUUCUGGGCCGUUCCUGACGCUAAGACGCGAAAGCAUGGGUAGCGAACG
rnacentral:rRNA from 1 species